UGUUGUUCAACAUAAUUUCUCUUAUGGUUGCAUUGUUUCAUCUACAGCAAUCUUUGCUAUCAAACAACAUUUGAGCUCGUAGGGUUAUCAGACAAUAAAUGAAUAUAAUACUGGGUAACAAAUCUACUUUCUCCAUUAUGCAUACUCAGGAUUGAGUGCCAAGGCCUCUCUGUAAAUCAUUUCCUUCAUCUGCUCUUCUACCAAGGGCUGUUGC
rnacentral:misc_RNA from 1 species